rnacentral:rRNA from 1 species
AUACGGAGGAUGCGAGCGUUAUCCGGAUUCAUUGGGUUUAAAGGGUGCGCAGGCGGCCCGGUAAGUCAGCGGUGAAAGUCAGGGGCCCAACCCCGGAAGUGCCGUUGAUACUGUCGGGCUGGAAUGCGGUCGAGGCGGGCGGAAUGUGGGGUGUAGGGGGGAAAUGGAUGGAUAUGCCACAGAACGCCGAUAGCGAAGGCGGCUCGCCAGGCCUGCAUUGACGCUCGGGCACGAAAGCGUGGGGAUCAAACAGGAUUAGAUACCCUGGUAGUCCACGCCGUAAACGAUGGACGCUCGUCGUCGGCGACAGACAGUCGGCGGCCAAGCGAAAGUGAUAAGCGUCCCACCUGGGGAGUACGGUCGCAAGGCUGAAACUCAAAUGAAUUGACGGGG